CCUACGAGCGGCAGCAGUGGGGAAUAUUGGACAAUGGGCGAAAGCCUGAUCCAGCCAUGCCGCGUGUGUGAAGAAGGCCUUCGGGUUGUAAAGCACUUUCAGUGGGGAAGAAAGCCUUGGGGCUAAUACCCUCGAGGAAGGACAUCACCCACAGAAGAAGCACCGGCUAACUCCGUGCCAGCAGCCGCGGUAAUACGGAGGGUGCGAGCGUUAAUCGGAAUUACUGGGCGUAAAGCGCGCGUAGGCGGUCUGAUAAGCCGGUUGUGAAAGCCCCGGGCUCAACCUGGGAACGGCAUCCGGAACUGUCAGGCUAGAGUGCAGGAGAGGAAGGUAGAAUUCCCGGUGUAGCGGUGAAAUGCGUAGAGAUCGGGAGGAAUACCAGUGGCGAAGGCGGCCUUCUGGACUGACACUGACGCUGAGGUGCGAAAGCGUGGGUAGCAAACAGGAUUAGAUACCCUAGUAGUC
rnacentral:rRNA from 1 species